GGAAGAAGUUUGAAACCAAGAAAAUGGUGAUUGGGAAGACCAGGAUGCGCAAUGGCAAAUUGAGGGUAAGCGGGGUACGUGUCCUGAAUUUGUAGAAUCUUUUGACACAAAGCAACAGAGCCACAGUCAAGACUCAAGUCAAAAGAAAUUUAGACCCCAUCUGGGCAAACAGGCCUCUAAGCAACAAUCUAAGAUUUCCACCUAUUGUUCUGGCAUUCCUUGUAUAAAUGAUUAUGACUGCAGAGAUCUUAGGAAGUGCUGUGGUACCUUUAGAUGUGGCCUGAGGUGCAUACAUCCUCUUAUGAUUGACCCUGUAUUGUUCAAUUCACCUCCACAAUCCAAGGCAUAAAUAUUGGAUGGAGAAAUGGAUUCAGAUGGAGGCAUCAUUGAGCUUAUUCUUGACUCAUCUCAGUCCAAACAUUACUCUGUCAAUCGUUGUUCUUAAAAUCUGCAUAUUAAAAGCUCAGCAUC
rnacentral:lncRNA from 1 species